GGUUAAGCGACUAAGCGUACACGGUGGAUGCCCUGGCAGUCAGAGGCGAUGAAGGACGUGCUAAUCUGCGAUAAGCGUCGGUAAGGUGAUAUGAACCGUUAUAACCGGCGAUUUCCGAAUGGGGAAACCCAGUGUGUUUCGACACACUAUCAUUAACUGAAUCCAUAGGUUAAUGAGGCGAACCGGGGGAACUGAAACAUCUAAGUACCCCGAGGAAAAGAAAUCAACCGAGAUUCCCCCAGUAGCGGCGAGCGAACGGGGAGCAGCCCAGAGCCUGAAUCAGUGUGUGUGUUAGUGGAAGCGUCUGGAAAGGCGCGCGAUACAGGGUGACAGCCCCGUACACAAAAAUGCACAUACUGUGAGCUCGAUGAGUAGGGCGGGACACGUGGUAUCCUGUCUGAAUAUGGGGGGACCAUCCUCCAAGGCUAAAUACUCCUGACUGACCGAUAGUGAACCAGUACCGUGAGGGAAAGGCGAAAAGAACCCCAGCGAGGGGAGUGAAAAAGAACCUGAAACCGUGUACGUACAAGCAGUGGGAGCACGCUUCGGCGUGUGACUGCGUACCUUUUGUAUAAUGGGUCAGCGACUUAUAUUCUGUAGCAAGGUUAACCGAAUAGGGGAGCCGAAGGGAAACCGAGUCUUAACUGGGCGUUAAGUUGCAGGGUAUAGACCCGAAACCCGGUGAUCUAGCCAUGGGCAGGUUGAAGGUUGGGUAACACUAACUGGAGGACCGAACCGACUAAUGUUGAAAAAUUAGCGGAUGACUUGUGGCUGGGGGUGAAAGGCCAAUCAAACCGGGAGAUAGCUGGUUCUCCCCGAAAGCUAUUUAGGUAGCGCCUCGUGAAUUCAUCUCCGGGGGUAGAGCACUGUUUCGGCAAGGGGGUCAUCCCGACUUACCAACCCGAUGCAAACUGCGAAUACCGGAGAAUGUUAUCACGGGAGACACACGGCGGGUGCUAACGUCCGUCGUGAAGAGGGAAACAACCCAGACCGCCAGCUAAGGUCCCAAAGUCAUGGUUAAGUGGGAAACGAUGUGGGAAGGCCCAGACAGCCAGGAUGUUGGCUUAGAAGCAGCCAUCAUUUAAAGAAAGCGUAAUAGCUCACUGGUCGAGUCGGCCUGCGCGGAAGAUGUAACGGGGCUAAACCAUGCACCGAAGCUGCGGCAGCGACACUAUGUGUUGUUGGGUAGGGGAGCGUUCUGUAAGCCUGUGAAGGUGUACUGUGAGGUAUGCUGGAGGUAUCAGAAGUGCGAAUGCUGACAUAAGUAACGAUAAAGCGGGUGAAAAGCCCGCUCGCCGGAAGACCAAGGGUUCCUGUCCAACGUUAAUCGGGGCAGGGUGAGUCGACCCCUAAGGCGAGGCCGAAAGGCGUAGUCGAUGGGAAACAGGUUAAUAUUCCUGUACUUGGUGUUACUGCGAAGGGGGGACGGAGAAGGCUAUGUUGGCCGGGCGACGGUUGUCCCGGUUUAAGCGUGUAGGCUGGUUUUCCAGGCAAAUCCGGAAAAUCAAGGCUGAGGCGUGAUGACGAGGCACUACGGUGCUGAAGCAACAAAUGCCCUGCUUCCAGGAAAAGCCUCUAAGCAUCAGGUAACAUCAAAUCGUACCCCAAACCGACACAGGUGGUCAGGUAGAGAAUACCAAGGCGCUUGAGAGAACUCGGGUGAAGGAACUAGGCAAAAUGGUGCCGUAACUUCGGGAGAAGGCACGCUGAUAUGUAGGUGAAGUCCCUCGCGGAUGGAGCUGAAAUCAGUCGAAGAUACCAGCUGGCUGCAACUGUUUAUUAAAAACACAGCACUGUGCAAACACGAAAGUGGACGUAUACGGUGUGACGCCUGCCCGGUGCCGGAAGGUUAAUUGAUGGGGUUAGCGGUAACGCGAAGCUCUUGAUCGAAGCCCCGGUAAACGGCGGCCGUAACUAUAACGGUCCUAAGGUAGCGAAAUUCCUUGUCGGGUAAGUUCCGACCUGCACGAAUGGCGUAAUGAUGGCCAGGCUGUCUCCACCCGAGACUCAGUGAAAUUGAACUCGCUGUGAAGAUGCAGUGUACCCGCGGCAAGACGGAAAGACCCCGUGAACCUUUACUAUAGCUUGACACUGAACAUUGAGCCUUGAUGUGUAGGAUAGGUGGGAGGCUUUGAAGUGUGGACGCCAGUCUGCAUGGAGCCGACCUUGAAAUACCACCCUUUAAUGUUUGAUGUUCUAACGUUGACCCGUGAUCCGGGUUGCGGACAGUGUCUGGUGGGUAGUUUGACUGGGGCGGUCUCCUCCUAAAGAGUAACGGAGGAGCACGAAGGUUGGCUAAUCCUGGUCGGACAUCAGGAGGUUAGUGCAAUGGCAUAAGCCAGCUUGACUGCGAGCGUGACGGCGCGAGCAGGUGCGAAAGCAGGUCAUAGUGAUCCGGUGGUUCUGAAUGGAAGGGCCAUCGCUCAACGGAUAAAAGGUACUCCGGGGAUAACAGGCUGAUACCGCCCAAGAGUUCAUAUCGACGGCGGUGUUUGGCACCUCGAUGUCGGCUCAUCACAUCCUGGGGCUGAAGUAGGUCCCAAGGGUAUGGCUGUUCGCCAUUUAAAGUGGUACGCGAGCUGGGUUUAGAACGUCGUGAGACAGUUCGGUCCCUAUCUGCCGUGGGCGCUGGAGAACUGAGGGGGGCUGCUCCUAGUACGAGAGGACCGGAGUGGACGCAUCACUGGUGUUCGGGUUGUCAUGCCAAUGGCACUGCCCGGUAGCUAAAUGCGGAAGAGAUAAGUGCUGAAAGCAUCUAAGCACGAAACUUGCCCCGAGAUGAGUUCUCCCUGACUCCUUGAGAGUCCUGAAGGAACGUUGAAGACGACGACGUUGAUAGGCCGGGUGUGUAAGCGCAGCGAUGCGUUGAGCUAACCGGUACUAAUGAACCGUGAGGCUUAACCUUACAACGCCGAAGGUGUUUUG
rnacentral:rRNA from 2 species